UUUCCGUAAUAUUUCUUCAUAUUUUUCCUAUAAUAACUAGAGAAAAUGAGAAAGCAUUAAAAGAUAGGGAACAAAAUAAUUUUUUAAGGAAAAUGCAUAAAAACACACAAGCUUUUAAGCUUAAAAGACAUCUCUAUUAUCUUCCAAGGAAAGAACUGUGUUGCUAUAGCAAAAUAGGCUAUCUGAUUUCCAUGUGCAUAUAAUACUCUAGCG
rnacentral:misc_RNA from 1 species